rnacentral:rRNA from 1 species
CGUGGGCAAUCUGCCCUAAAGACUGGGAUACCACUUGGAAACAGGUGCUAAUACCGGAUAACAACAUGAAUCGCAUGAUUCAAGUUUGAAAGGCGGCGCAAGCUGUCACUUUAGGAUGAGCCCGCGGCGCAUUAGCUAGUUGGUGGGGUAAAGGCCUACCAAGGCAAUGAUGCGUAGCCGAGUUGAGAGACUGAUCGGCCACAUUGGGACUGAGACACGGCCCAAACUCCUACGGGAGGCAGCAGGC